rnacentral:lncRNA from 1 species
UCUUUAACAUCAAUUUCCUAACACCAACUACGUCCAUAUAUUAAACCACCCGUGCAGCAUAUAAAAACAAACUCCUAUCAUCCAUCAUUUCAAUCAUAUUAACACCCCUUAUUAUCACCCAAACAAUUACUCUCUGGCAAGCAAAUAAACCAAUCAAAUACCCCAAUGCCUUCCCUGUGUCUUAUCUAUCACUUUAUCACGUAAAAAUCCUUCUUCUCUCUUCACAAUCUACCUAGAUAUAACAAGAUCUUUUCCCCUUCUGCUCCCUCAUCAUGAAACAUAAAAUUCUUCUUUCCAUCACUUCUAUUCACAUAUAAUCAUAAAGAAUUAAAUGUAAUGCACACACUCCCAUACAUAGACUCUGCACCUACUGCAUGUAAAAUUCAUUCUCAACCCUGCGGUCAUCCUAACCACACACCUUCACGUACAUAUCACUCCUUCAUUAUCAAUUUCCUUUUAUUUAACUUACAUUCUACAAAUCCCACACCCCAUCAUUUACUAACUUAUUACUUAUUUCAAAGAACCACACAACAGCAAAAUAAAACUCCUAACAACCUUCCUGUAAAGCCCACAACAGAAAUAACAAACCCUCAACACUAACUUCCCUCCUGCAUAAAACUCUUUUUACCUUUCCUCACUACCCAUUCUUAUUCCUUCUCACAUGGAACCCCAAAAAUAACCAUACAGACUUUCUUCUUCUUUUCUCAGUCAAGACCGAGACCUCCCUCCCUCACGCAUACCCCACUGCACCCAUAUUUGGCUCAUUUUAAUUUCUUUUAACCCUUCCAUACCGACGCUCAUUCACUCUCAAUAUCGCACUAUAAUAACAAAGUGUACCUUACCAUGCACAUUCACACAGUUCUUCCCCUCUGAGGAAGGGAAACCCAAAACCUAAACCCCACUCACUCUGGUUUAGAGAGUGAAACGAGCAAUUUGUUUCCUGAUCCAACAACAAGUCAAACAAUGU